GGAAGUGGCUGCACCGCCCGGGGCGGGGAUGGGGCUGCGCGGUCCCCCGCCCCAUCACACCUGCCUCCACCCCAGGUCCGGGUCUGUCUCUCCGCACGCCGCCGAGGGUGCAGUGUCCACUUGCCGAGACCCACCGGCUUAAUGAUGACUCGGAGGCCGCAGACGCGUGAAGGAGGCAGGGAUGAGGUUUUCAUUAAGUUGGCAACGUCGGGGUUAACCGGGAGUGCACUGGGGGCGGGAUGCUGGGAGGACAGGAUCCCUCGACCAUCCUUGCGUCUCCUUUCACUUCGGUCUCAGACCCUGGGCGGUCCAGGCCGACGCAGUAUUUUCGGGAUGGGAGAAGUCAGAUAGGGGAGUCCAGACCCCAAACCUUCAAUCUUUCCUCCCUACACCCAAGAGUUAUGUGCUCUGGCUGCAUUGGACCGGGGUGAGAAAGUUAAGACCAGAGAAGUGUCCCAAAUGGGAGAGGGGAGGUCAAGAAACUACAGCAAGUGGGAAUCAAGUUAGAGCAGAGGAAGAGGGGAUCUUUUAAAGAAAGAAAAAAAAAAAAUGGUACUCUUUCCUUGCAGGGAAGACCUCCCAGGAGAGAUUGCUUCCCUUAAGCAGAGACUCUGCCUUUGAACGGUGCCAGUGGCAGGCUGGGACAGGUGCCCGGCUUCCUUGGGGAGCUCAGGGAUUCAUCUCUGGUGAUGUCCCACAGUCCGUCCCCAGCCCACACCAAGGCUGCUUCUACUCCUCUUACCUCCACCCACUCACCCACUGGCCUUUGCUCCUCUCUCCCUCUCAGAAAUGAUGUGCUUUUUCAAUAGUGAAAGUUGCAAUUAAUGCUCUCAUUUCCAUAAGGCAAACACAUAACCCGGCCCCAGGAUCCAACCUGUGACCAAUCUCCACCGACAAGGACUGCUCCCCACCCGACUCUCCUGCUUCCCCACAGAGAAGGAAAUUAACUCCAUUCUAAUUAGGAAUCCCCUCGUCAUGUUUGAAGCCUGCAAGUCCGAACAGCGGGCGCAGCUCAGGGAGGAGACCGUGCCCUUGGCAUCCAGCCCCCGCCACCCCCGGCUCCAGCAUGCUUCCAUCACCUUCCAUCAUCGCCCGCUGUCUCCGAGAUCAAAGGAAGCCAGACUGCGAAACGGACUGCCCCCCGCCCCCAGUGCCUUUCGUCUCUUCCCCUCUCACGCCAGGGCCACCAGUUUUCCGAGGAACUUAAAUCAUUACUGAAAGACGUCUAGUUUCACAGACACCAAGCCCUUUCAAAGAGAGGCGUGGGCACCCGAAAGGGAAGCGCAGAAAAGCACAGAGGAAACUUUUCCCCGGUUCCAAGAUGUCACCAAUCCCACAUCCAGGGAAGCUCUUGGCUGUUUGGCUGGAUCUUGUCUUCCUUCUCUGCCAUCUCCUUGGGGGCUCAGCUGUCCCCAGAGUCGCAUUUCUGGAUGCUCUUGGGAGCUCCAGCACUUUGCGUGCCCUUUGCUUACGCCGUAGGCAGGUCCUAUAACCUUAAAAAACAGCUCGUUCAGUCGUGUGCAUCUCUUUGAUGAAAGCUCUCUCCUCCUGCAGCCUUUCCUCAACCCUCCAUGCCCAAAGGGACUGUGCCUUCCUCUGAAUCACGUUUUCCUUUUGACCUUGCAUUAUACUAAGUUUUAUCUUCUUUGUACAAGAAUAUAUAUUCCUCGAUGGAGAGAUUAGGGCUUAUUCGGCUGUGCACCCAUCACAAUACACUACACCACACGCCAUCAGAGCUGAACAAAUGUCUGUUUCAUGAAGAGCAGCGCAUGUGUCUUGCUCUGACAUGGAGUCUAAUUACGUAGUUAUUCCUCUCAGCCCUCAGUAAGAAACACAUUUUAUGUUAUGGAGAAAAGAUUCUUCUACAUAAUAAAAAUGCAAUUGUA